rnacentral:rRNA from 1 species
GUAAUGGCUCACCAAGGCGACGACGGGUAGCCGGCCUGAGAGGGUGACCGGCCACACUGGGACUGAGACACGGCCCAGACUCCUACGGGAGGCAGCAGUGGGGAAUAUUGCACAAUGGGCGAAAGCCUGAUGCAGCGACGCCGCGUGAGGGAUGACGGCCUUCGGGUUGUAAACCUCUUUCAGUAGGGAAGAAGCGAAAGUGACGGUACCUGCAGAAGAAGCGCCGGCUAACUACGUGCCAGCAGCCGCGGUAAUACGUAGGGCGCAAGCGUUAUCCGGAAUUAUUGGGCGUAAAGAGCUCGUAGGCGGUUUGUCGCGUCUGCCGUGAAAGUCCGGGGCUCAACUCCGGAUCUGCGGUGGGUACGGGCAGACUAGAGUGAUGUAGGGGAGACUGGAAUUCCUGGUGUAGCGGUGAAAUGCGCAGAUAUCAGGAGGAACACCGAUGGCGAAGGCAGGUCUCUGGGCAUUAACUGACGCUGAGGAGCGAAAGCAUGGGGAGCGAACAGGAUUAGAUACCCUGGUAGUCCAUGCCGUAAACGUUGGGCACUAGGUGUGGGGGACAUUCCACGUUUUCCGCGCCGUAGCUAACGCAUUAAGUGCCCCGCCUGGGGAGUACGGCCGCAAGGCUAAAACUCAAAGGAAUUGACGGGGGCCCGCACAAGCGGCGGAGCAUGCGGAUUAAUUCGAUGCAACGCGAAGAACCUUACCAAGGCUUGACAUGAACCGGAAACACCUGGAAACAGGUGCCCCGCUUGCGGUCGGUUUACAGGUGGUGCAUGGUUGUCGUCAGCUCGUGUCGUGAGAUGUUGGGUUAAGUCCCGCAACGAGCGCAACCCUCGUUCUAUGUUGCCAGCGCGUGAUGGCGGGGACUCAUAGGAGACUGCCGGGGUCAACUCGGAGGAAGGUGGGGACGACGUCAAAUCAUCAUGCCGCGGGGUGUCUUGGGCUUCACGCAUGCUACAAUGGCCGGUACAAAGGGUUGCGAUACUGUGAGGUGGAGCUAAUCCCAAAAAGCCGGUCUCAGUUCGGAUUGGGGUCUGCAACUCGACCCCA